GCCUGCACACCCCACGAGGUUGUAUUCCCCUUUAAAAGUCCCAGCACAUGCUAAUAUGCAGAGCUCCUGCAGGCUGUGUUGCGGCACUGGGGAACUCUGCUGAGCUGUGCAGUUUGAGCUGCCAGAGAUCCCGAACAAUGUCAUUGUGUUCAGAAGGCACUGCAGCACUCAACUUUCACCGGCGAGCUCCUCGCUCUCCGGCGCGCCAGCGUUUCCAGGGCACAAGGCAAGGAGCAAAGCAAGAGCACAGACCUGCACUCCCAAUGAUGCCCAGCCAGUCUGAAGCAACCUGUUCCCUGAGCUUUGGAUCCCUCCCUCCACUGAGAGCAGGAGACCAUGAUGGGGAAAUUGAGGCACGGCCAGGGUGGAUCCGUUGCCAGCGAGUUCUCCUCCGCUCCUAUGCGGAGCUUGGGAGUAGCACUGUGCAUACAAGCAAAACCGCCAGGAGUUUGAACAAACUUGCCUCAAACUAUUUAUGGGGCAUCUGGAAGUGCUUUGUCAUCCCACUAUCUGUCUGAGCACGGCUGUUUGGACCUGGAGGAGCAAUUUAGAUAAAUAUGGAAUCCAGACAAGUUCCAAAUAUUUCUACUUAUCUGAGGACUGCAGCAUUUCUUAUGCCUGAGAGUAGAAGUGUGUAGUUUGGUCAAAAUAGCUGCACAUCUCCUGGGGGUCAGAAGAUAACAACAUCAAAGUUAGAAAUGAAAACCCGCCACCUGGAUAUGAAAUUUUGCUAGCUGGGAGACUCAGGUAAGAAAGGAUAUUAAUCCUUUUCUAACCUGAUGGUCGGGCCCGGAAGGGAAAGAUGAGAUUGUCGCAGCCCAAAUAAUGUAAAAACACCACCAUCUGUGCGGGGAAAAAUCCUUGGGAGACUCUUAGCUUAGUUUGACAUUUGUAGCCCACAGGAAUGGGUGGGAAGAUGAACAAAGAGAGGGUUUUCUAGCAGUAAAUGUGAGAGUCUGAGCUUAGGUGUUGGUGAAAGGACUUUAACUGGCAAUGGACCAAUGGACUCAGCAUGACCUGGACUUGCAGAUCAAGAUCAGCAAGACGAG